rnacentral:piRNA from 1 species
UGACUUCAGGGCUCCCGAAUGUGGCU